GCAAAUCUCUUAAAGCCGUUCUCAGUUCGGAUCGGAGUCUGCAACCCGACUCCGUGAAGCUGGAUUCGCUAGUAAUCGCGCAUCAGCCAUGGCGCGGUGAAUACGUUCCCGGGUCUUGUACACACCGCCCGUCACACCGUGGGAGUCGGAAAUGCCCGAAGUCUGUGACCCAACCAUUAAGGAGGGAGCAGCCGAAGGCAGGUCGGAUGACUGGGGUGAAGUCGUAACAAGGUAUC
rnacentral:rRNA from 1 species